rnacentral:rRNA from 1 species
UGGGGAAUAUUGGACAAUGGGCGAAAGCCUGAUCCAGCCAUGCCGCGUGUGUGAAGAAGGUCUUCGGAUUGUAAAGCACUUUAAGUUGGGAGGAAGGGUUGUAGAUUAAUACUCUGCAAUUUUGACGCUACCGACAGAAUAAGCACCGGCUAACUCUGUGCCAGCAGCCGCGGUAAUACAGAGGGUGCAAGCGUUAAUCGGAAUUACUGGGCGUAAAGCGCGCGUAGGUGGUUUGUUAAGUUGGAUGUGAAAUCCCCGGGCUCAACCUGGGAACUGCAUUCAAAACUGACUGACUAGAGUAUGGUAGAGGGUGGUGGAAUUUCCUGUGUAGCGGUGAAAUGCGUAGAUAUAGGAAGGAACACCAGUGGCGAAGGCGACCACCUGGACUAAUACUGACACUGAGGUGCGAAAGCGUGGGGAGCAAACAGG